GCCAGUGUGGUGCAGUGGUCUGAAUGUUUGAUUAUGACUCUGAAGAUCAGGGUUCAAAUCCCUGUUGGCU
rnacentral:tRNA from 1 species